UACAGAGGGUGCGAGCGUUAAUCGGAAUUACUGGGCGUAAAGCGCGCGUAGGCGGUUUUGUAAGUCGGGUGUGAAAUCCCUAGGCUCAACCUGGGAACUGCAUUCGAGACUGCAUGACUGGAGUAUGGGAGAGGACAGCGGAAUUUCCGGUGUAGCGGUGAAAUGCGUAGAUAUCGGAAGGAACAUCAGUGGCGAAAGCGGCUGUCUGGCCCAAUACUGACGCUCAUGUGCGAAAGCGUGGGGAGCAAAC
rnacentral:rRNA from 1 species